UACGUAGGUGGCAAGCGUUAUCCGGAAUUAUUGGGCGUAAAGCGCGCGUAGGCGGUUUUUUAAGUCUGAUGUGAAAGCCCACGGCUCAACCGUGGAGGGUCAUUGGAAACUGAAAAACUUGAGUGCAGAAGAGGAAAGUGGAAUUCCAUGUGUAGCGGUGAAAUGCGCAGAGAUAUGGAGGAACACCAGUGGCGAAGGCGACUUUCUGGUCUGUAACUGACGCUGAUGUGCGAAAGCGUGGGGAUCAAACAGGAUUAGAUACCCUGGUAGUCCACGCCGUAAACGAUGAGUGCUAAGUGUUAGGGGGUUCCGCCCCUUAGUGCUGCAGCUAACGCAUUAAGCACUCCGCCUGGGGAGUACGGCCGCAAGGCUUAAACUCAAAGGAAUUGACGGGGACCCGCACAAGCGGUGGAGCAUGUGGUUUAAUUCGAAGCAACGCGAAGAACCUUACCAAAUCUUGACAUCCUUUGACCGCUCUAGAGAUAGAGUCUUCCCCUUCGGGGGACAAAGUGACAGGUGGUGCAUGGUUGUCGUCAGCUCGUGUCGUGAGAUGUUGGGUUAAGUCCCGCAACGAGCGCAACCCUUAAGCUUAGUUGCCAUCAUUCAGUUGGGCACUCUAAGUUGACUGCCGGUGACAAACCGGAGGAAGGUGGGGAUGACGUCAAAUCAUCAUGCCCCUUAUGAUUUGGGCUACACACGUGCUACAAUGGACAAUACAAAGGGCAGCGAAACCGCGAGGUCAAGCAAAUCCCAUAAAGUUGUUCUCAGUUCGGAUUGUAGUCUGCAACUCGACUACAUGAAGCUGGAAUCGCUAGUAAUCGUAGAUCAGCAUGCUACGGUGAAUACGUUCCCGGGUCU
rnacentral:rRNA from 1 species